AUUGAACGCUGGCGGCAGGCUUAACACAUGCAAGUCGAGCGGGGGAGGUUGCUUCGGUAACUGACCUAGCGGCGGACGGGUGAGUAAUGCUUAGGAAUCUGCCUAUUAGUGGGGGACAACAUUCCGAAAGGGAUGCUAAUACCGCAUACGCCCUACGGGGGAAAGCAGGGGAUCUUCGGACCUUGCGCUAAGAGAUGAGCCUAAGGCGGAUUAGCUAGUCUGUGGGGUAAAGGCCUACCAAGGCGACGAUCUGUAGCGGGUAUGCGAGGAUGAUCCGCCACACUGGGACUGAGACACGGCCCAGACUCCUACGGGAGGCAGCAGUGGGGAAUAUUGGACAAUGGGCGGAAGCCUGAUCCAGCCAUGCCGCGUGUGUGAAGAAGGCCUUUUGGUUGUAAAGCACUUUAAGCGAGGAGGAGGCUCUUAAGGUUAAUACCCUUGAUGAGUGGACGUUACUCGCAGAAUAAGCACCGGCUAACUCUGUGCCAGCAGCCGCCGUAACAC
rnacentral:rRNA from 1 species